UACGGAGGGUGCGAGCGUUAAUCGGAAUUACUGGGCGUAAAGGGUGCGUAGGUGGUUUAAUAAGUUAUGUGUAAAAUCCCUGGGCUUAACCUAGGAAGGUCAGAUAAGACUGUUAGACUAGAGUAUGGGAGAGGGUAGAGGAAUUUCCGGUGUAGCGGUGAAAUGCGUAGAGAUCGGAAGGAACACCGGUGGCGAAGGCGCCUACCUGGCCUAAUACUGACACUGAGGCACGAAAGCGUGGGGAGCAAACAGG
rnacentral:rRNA from 1 species